UGAUAAAGAACUCGAGCAGAAGAAAGAAGAGUUUGAUAGCUUGCAGACUAGUCUGAAAGAUGAAGCCCAAAAGAAUGCUGAGGGUGAAGCAGCUCUUCUCACGAUAACUAAUCUAUAUUCUAGUUCUCAGGAAGAAGUUAACAGGUUAGCCCUUGAGAUUAACAAGCUGAACAGAAAGUUGAAUGAAGUGGAAAAUGUGUCUUCCGAUCUCAAGAACACCAUCUUGCUGCUGAAUACUGAAAAGGACACAGCUCUUCUUAAGCAAGAGCAGUUCUUGGUGAGAGUAUCUGAUCUGGAGUCUAAACUCUCUGAAGUGCAGGCUGAACUAGAGAAUUCUGAACAAAAAGGGCAAGUGCUUGAUGAUGAACUCGAGCAGAAGAAAGAAGAGGUCUAUGGCUUGCAGACUAGUCUGAAAGAUGAAGCCCGAAAGAAUGCUGAGGGGGAAGCAGCUGUUCUCACGAUAACUAAUCUAUAUUCUAAUUCUCAGGAAGAAGUGAACAGGUUAGCCAUUGAGAUUAACAAGCUGAACAGAAAGUUGAAUGAAGUGGAAAGUGUGUCUUCCGAGCUCAAGAACACCAUCUUGCUGCUGAAUACCGAAAAGGACACAGCUCUUCUUCAGCACAAGCAGUCCUUGGUGAGAGUAUCUGAUCUGGAAUCUAAACUCUCUGAAGUUCAGGCUGAACUAGAGAGUUCUGAACAAAAAGGGCAAAUGCUUGAAAAAGAACUCGAGCAGAAGAAAGAAGAGGUCGAUAGCUUGCAGACUAGUCUGAAAGAUGAAGCCCGAAAGAAUGCUGAGGGUGAAGAAGCUCUUCUCACGAUAACUAAUCUAUAUUCUAAUUCUCAGGAAGAAGUGAACAGGUUAGCCGAUGAGAUGAACAAGCUGAACAGAAAGUUGAAUGAAGUGGAAAGCGUGUCUUCCGAGCUCAAGAACACCAUCUUGGUGCUGAAUACCGAAAAGGACACAGCUCUUCUUCAGCACAAGCAGUCCUUGGUG
rnacentral:lncRNA from 1 species